rnacentral:rRNA from 1 species
UACGAAGGGGGCUAGCGUUAAUCGGAAUUACUGGGCGUAAAGCGUGCGCAGGCGGUUCGCCAAGUCAGGUGUGAAAUCCCCGGGCUUAACCUGGGAAUUGCGCUUGAAACUAGCGGGCUUGAGUGUGGCAGAGGGGGGUGGAAUUCCACGUGUAGCAGUGAAAUGCGUAGAGAUGUGGAGGAACACCGAUGGCGAAGGCAGCCCCCUGGGUCAACACUGACGCUCAUGCACGAAAGCGUGGGGAGCAAACAGG